UUAUAGUAAAUUGAAUUUCUAAGUCAUUUAUCUUUUCUAAUGUUUCUCAGUUGUAUACUAGUGAUGCAUAUUGCUUUUUUACUUUAUUUAUAGUCUCUUUAACAGCAGCUGAAUAUUCAAUGUCAUGUAAAAGUGAAUUGUUAAAUUUCCAUAGACCUUUACCAAUUAUAAAGUUAUUCAUCUUUAAAUGUAACAUUAUUGGGGAGUGAUCAGAUCUAUAACUGUUAAGAAUGUGUAUAUCAUGUACAUGUUGAUUAAGGCCUUGCGAUAUUAAAAAGAAAUCCAAUCUUGCUUGUUUAAUGGGAUUAUUUUUUCUCCAUGUAAAUUUUUUU
rnacentral:lncRNA from 1 species